rnacentral:rRNA from 1 species
GACGAACGCUGGCGGCGUGCUUAACACAUGCAAGUCGAACGGAAAGGCCCUGCUUUUGUGGGGUGCUCGAGUGGCGAACGGGUGAGUAACACGUGAGUAACCUGCCCUUGACUUUGGGAUAACUUCAGGAAACUGGGGCUAAUACCGGAUAGGAGCUCCUGCUGCAUGGUGGGGGUUGGAAAGUUUCGGCGGUUGGGGAUGGACUCGCGGCUUAUCAGCUUGUUGGGGAGGUAGUGGCUUACCAAGGCUUUGACGGGUAGCCGGCCUGAGAGGGUGACCGGCCACAUUGGGACUGAGAUACGGCCCAGACUCCUACGGGAGGCAGCAGUGGGGAAUAUUGCACAAUGGGCGGAAGCCUGAUGCAGCAACGCCGCGUGCGGGAUGACGGCCUUCGGGUUGUAAACCGCUUUCGCCUGUGACGAAGCGUGAGUGACGGUAAUGGGUAAAGAAGCACCGGCUAACUACGUG